CAGCCGCCGCGGGAAUACGUAGGUGGCAAGCGUUAUCCGGAAUUAUUGGGCGUAAAGCGCGCGUAGGCGGUUUUUUAAGUCUGAUGUGAAAGCCCACGGCUCAACCGUGGAGGGUCAUUGGAAACUGGAAAACUUGAGUGCAGAAGAGGAAAGUGGAAUUCCAUGUGUAGCGGUGAAAUGCGCAGAGAUAUGGAGGAACACCAGUGGCGAAGGCGACUUUCUGGUCUGUAACUGACGCUGAUGUGCGAAAGCGUGGGGAUCAAACAGGAUUAGAUACCCGCGUAGUCCCUGUCUCUUAUAC
rnacentral:rRNA from 1 species